rnacentral:rRNA from 1 species
UACGUAGGGUGCGAGCGUUGUCCGGAAUUAUUGGGCGUAAAGAGCUCGUAGGCGGUCUGUCGCGUCUGCUGUGAAAACCCGAGGCUCAACCUCGGGCCUGCAGUGGGUACGGGCAGACUAGAGUGCGGUAGGGGAGAAUGGAACUCCUGGUGUAGCGGUGGAAUGCGCAGAUAUCAGGAAGAACACCGAUGGCGAAGGCAGUUCUCUGGGCCGUAACUGACGCUGAGAAGCGAAAGCAUGGGGAGCGAACAGG